GUAUAAGAGACAGCAGUAGCCGCGGUAAUACGGAGGGCGCGAGCGUUACCCGGAUUUACUGGGCGUAAAGGGCGUGUAGGCGGCCUGGGGCGUCCCAUGUGAAAGGCCACGGCUCAACCGUGGAGGAGCGUGGGAUACGCUCAGGCUAGAGGGUGGGAGAGGGUGGUGGAAUUCUCGGAGUAGCGGUGAAAUGCGCAGAUACCGGGAGGAACGCCGAUGGCGAAGGCAGCCACCUGGUCCACUUCUGACGCUGAGGCGCGAAAGCGUGGGGAGCAAACCGGAUUAGAUACCCCAGUAGUCCCUGUCUCUUAUAC
rnacentral:rRNA from 1 species